rnacentral:rRNA from 1 species
UACGUAGGGUGCGAGCGUUAAUCGGAAUUACUGGGCGUAAAGCGUGCGUAGGCGGUUCGUUAAGUCAGCUGUGAAAGCCCCGGGCUCAACCUGGGAAUUGCGGUUGAAACUGGCGAACUAGAAUCUGGCAGAGGGGGGUGGAAUUCCACGUGUAGCAGUGAAAUGCGUAGAGAUGUGGAGGAACACCGAUGACGAAGGCAGCCCCCUGGGCUGAGAUUGACGCUCAGGCACGAAAGCGUGGGGAGCAAACAGG